AUCCAGCUGAAGAGUCCAAAACAGGACGAAACGCGUGUCCUGGAU
rnacentral:hammerhead_ribozyme from 1 species